GAGUGGGAUUUAGUGGGCGCACGAGGGUGAGUUGACGCAUAGAUAACAUGCCCUUUUAGUCUAGGAUAGCCACUGGAAACGGGUGAUUAAUACUGGAUACUCCUUAUGAGGGAAAGAAUUUCGCUAAAGGAUUGGUCUAUGUCCUAUCAAGCUUGUUGGUGAGGUAAUGGCUCACCAAGGCUAUGACGGGUAUCCGGCCUGAGAGGGUGAACGGACACACUGGAACUGAGACACGGUCCAGACUCCUACGGGAGGCAGCAGUAGGGAAUAUUGCUCAAUGGGGGAAACCCUGAAGCAGCAACGCCGCGUGGAGGAUGAAGGUUUUAGGAUUGUAAACUCCUUUUGUGAGAGAAGAUA
rnacentral:rRNA from 1 species